rnacentral:rRNA from 1 species
UACGGAGGGUGCGAGCGUUAAUCGGAAUUACUGGGCGUAAAGCGCGCGUAGGCGGUUUGUUAAGUCGGAUGUGAAAGCCCCGGGCUCAACCUGGGAACUGCACNCGANACUGGNCGACUUGAGUGCGNNAGAGGGAGGUAGAAUUCCAUGUGUAGCGGUGAAAUGCGUAGAUAUNUGGAGGAAUACCGGUGGCGAAGGCGGCUUNCUGGUUNGACACUGACGCUGAGGUGCGAAAGCGUGGGUAGCAAACAGG